rnacentral:rRNA from 1 species
AGCCUAUGAUGGAUGCCUUGGGACCAGAAAGCGAGGAAGGACGUGGCGUACCUGCGAUAAGCCUCGGGGAGGUGGCUAGCAACCUUUGAUCCGGGGAUUUCCGAAUGGGGAAACCCAAUUUCGCGAUAAGCGAAAUUAGUCUCAUCGAAAGGUGAGAUGGCAAACCCGCUGAAGUGAAACAUCUCAGUAAGCGGAGGAAAAGAAAAUAAGCUUCGCAAAUUUUCGAAUUUUGCGAAGCCAUUCCCCCAGUAGCGGCGAGCGAAAAGGGAAGAGUCCAAACCCUAUUAGAUAUGAAAAUUAUCUAACAGGGGGUUGUAAGAUAGAGAUAUUCCACUAAUUAAGUGGGCAAGGUUUUACAAAAGAUAAUUUGGUUAGUCGAAAGUUCCUGGAAAGGACUACCACAGAAGGAGAAAGUCCUGUAGACGAAAACCAUUAUCUACCUUGAUCUCUAUUCUUGAGUACUCCGAGAAAAGAAAACCUUGGAGGAAGCAGGCAGAACUAUCUGCCAAGACUAAAUAUUCUCUGGUCACCGAUAGUGAACUAGUACCGUGAGGGAAAGGUGAAAAGUAGCCCGGUGAGGGCGGUGAAAUAGAACCUGAAAUCAUAGGCUUACAAAGACUGGGAGCCCCGAUGUAAAAUCGGGGUGACCAGGUGCUUUUUGCAGAACGAGCCAACGAGUUUACAUCAAGAGCGAGCCUAAGCUCUACGGAGCGGAGGCACAGGGAAACCGAGUCUAAAAAGGCGUUAAGUUCUUGGUAUAAGACCCGAAGCCAGGCGAGCUUACCAUGGUUAGGGUGAACCCCGAUGAGAAUCGGGGGGAGGCCCGAACCCGUCCGCGCUGCAAAACGGUGGGAUGAACUGUGGUAAGAAGUGAAAAGCUAAACGAGCUUGGUAAUAGCUGGUUCUCCUCGAAAUAGCUUUAGGGCUAGCGUCUAGCAUUUUUUUCUGGAGGUAGAGCACUGGAUGGAAUUACGCGGGUUUUACCUGGUUUUUCCAACCAAACUCCGAAUGCCAGAAACUAAAAGUUGGAUAGUUAGACUAUGGGGGCUAAGCUCCGUAGUCAAAAGGGGAAAAGCCCAGACCGUCAUCUAAGGUCCCUAAGUUCCUCCGACGUGAAGUCGGAGCAUCGAUCUCGCAAGAGCAUCGGUGUUGUUAAGUGGAAAAAGAAGUUCUUUUGCUCAGACAGGUAGGAGGUCGGCCCAGAGGUAGCCAUCCUCUAAGGAGUGUGUAACAACUCACUACUCGAUUGCAAAAGAGCGCUGAAGAUUUACCGGGGCUCAAACAAGACACCGAAGGUACGGACCCCCUGAGAUAAAUUUUUAUCUCACGGGUGGUAGAGGAGCAUUUCCUUUGCAGUGAAGGUCCGAUGUAAGUCGGGCUGGAGCGAAGGGAAGAGAAGAUGUUGGCAUGAGUAACCGCAAUCCCGAUGAGAUAUCGGGACGCCGGAAACCUAAGGUUUCCUUGGCAAUGUAUAUCAGCCAAGGGUUAGACGGCUCUAACCCUUCACCUGAAAAGGUGAGGGGGAUGGACAAUCGGUUAAUAUUCCGAUUCUCCUUUAUUAAUUCCGAAGGGAUGACGGAGCGAAGUAACCUAAGCGGAUUAUUGGAUUUCCGUUCUUAAUCUGAAGAGGUCUUAUAGGCAAAUCCGUAAGACAACUCUAAAGGUUAAGAAAAUCCCGAUGUAAUAUCGGGAAAUUUAGGUGAGCUCGUUCCCAAGAAAAAUCUCGUAGGGUUAAUUAGUAAAGGAUCCGUACCGCAAACCGACACAGGUAGGUUGGUGUAAAAAAUACCAAGGCGAACGGGUGACUCCUCAUUAAGGAACUCGGCAAAAAAGUGGUCGUAAGUUCGCGAUAAGACCUGCCCGUGAUCCGCAAGGAUUUUACGGGCCGCAGCGAAAGUCUCUCUGGCGACUGUUUAACAAAAACACAAGUCCCUGCACAACUCGUAAGAGGAUAUAUAGGGGCUGACGCCUGACCAGUACUAGAAGGUUAAAGGUGGCAGUUUUUUUAGAGCAAUCUGGAAAAGCUGACUGCCCGAAGCCCUAGUGAACGUCGGCGGUAACUCUGACCGUCCUAAGGUAGCGUAAUCCCUUGUCGCAUAAGAAGCGACCUGCAUGAAAGGCGUAACGACCAGAGAACUGUCUCAAUGAGGAACCCGGUGAAAAUGCAAUGGGAGUGAAGAUGCUCUCUUCCUGCGGCGGGACGGAAAGACCCCGGGAGCUUUACUGCAGGUUCUCAUUGAAUUAUUUUCUUGGGUGCGUAGAAUAGUGGGGAGGCGAUGAAGUCCCGACUCCGGUCGGGGCAGAGCCAACAGUGAAAUACCCAUCUCUCAGGAGCCUGAUUCUAAUCCCGAUAAUCUCGGGAAACAGUGAGUGCCGGGCAGUUUAAGUGGGGCGCUUGCCUCCUAAAAAGUAACGGAGGCGUUUAUCAAGGUCGGCUAGUUCCGGAUGGAAAUCGGAACGGUUGGGCAAAGCCAAAAGCCGGCUUUACUGCAAGGCGGAAAAGCCGCGCAGUCACGAAAGUGGAACUUAGUGAACCGACCUCUUUUCAUAGAAAAGGGGAAGAUCAACAGAUAAAAGUUACCCCGGGGAUAACAGGCUAGUAGGGCCCGAAAGUCCAUAUUGACGGCCCUGUUCGGCACCUCGAUGUCGGCUCAUCCUAUCCUGGAGCUGAAGAAGGUUCCAAGGGUUUGGCUGUUCGCCAAUUAAAAGGAUACGCGAGUUGGGUUCAGACCGUCGCAAGACAGGUCGGUCCUCUAUCUGUCGCAGGCGUUGAGUCUUGAGGGGGGUCGCUCUUAGUACGAGAGGAUCAGAGCGAACUAACCUCUGGUGUACCAGUUGUCACGCCAGUGGCAUCGCUGGGUAGCUAUGUUGGGUCAGGAUAAGAGCUGAAAGCAUCUAAGCUCGAAACCUACCCCAAGAUUAGGACUCGCAGGUCGCCCGGAGAUGACGGGCUUAAUAGGCUGCAGGUGUAAGUCUGGUAACGGAUUUAGCCAAGCAGUACUAAUUGACCAA